GUGAUAUUCCGCCAAGUCAUCGACUUCUAGGCAUCGAACAUGGCUGCGCAACCGACAUUCCGAACAUCAUGCGCAGCAAAUC
rnacentral:sRNA from 1 species